GAUGAACGCUGGCGGCGUGCUUAACACAUGCAAGUCGAACGGAAAGGCCCUGCUUUUGUGGGGUGCUCGAGUGGCGAACGGGUGAGUAACACGUGAGUAACCCUCCCUUGACUUUGGGAUAACUUCAGGAAACUGGGGCUAAUACCGGAUAGGAGCUCCUGCUGCACGGUGGGGGUUGGAAAGUUUCGGCGGUUGGGGAUGGACUCGCGGCUUAUCAGCUUGUUGGUGGGGUAGUGGCUUACCAAGGCUUUGACGGGUAGCCGGCCUGAGAGGGUGACCGGCCACAUUGGGACUGAGAUACGGCCCAGACUCCUACGGGGGGCAGCGGUGGCGAAUAUUGCACAAUGGGCGGAAGCCUGAUGCAGCACCGCCGCGUGCGGGAUGACGGCCUUCGGGUUGUAAACCGCUUUCGCCUGUGACGAAGCGUGAGUGACGGUAAUGGGUAAAGAAGCACCGGCUAACUACGUG
rnacentral:rRNA from 1 species